rnacentral:rRNA from 1 species
AGUGAACGCUGGCGGUAGGCCUAACACAUGCAAGUCGAACGGCAGCACAGUAAGAGCCUGCUCUUACGGGUGGCGAGUGGCGGACGGGUGAGGAAUACAUCGGAAUCUACUUUUUCGUGGGGGAUAACGUAGGGAAACUUACGCUAAUACCGCAUACGACCUACGGGUGAAAGCAGGGGAUCUUCGGACCUUGCGCGAUUGAAUGAGCCGAUGUCGGAUUAGCUAGUUGGCGGGGUAAAGGCCCACCAAGGCGACGAUCCGUAGCUGGUCUGAGAGGAUGAUCAGCCACACUGGAACUAAGACACGGUCCAGACUCCUACGGGAGGCAGCAGUGGGGAAUAUUGGACAUGGGCGCAAGCCUGAUCCAGCCAUACCGCGUGGGUGAAGAAGGCCUUCGGGUUGUAAAGCCCUUUUGUUGGGAAAGAAAAGCAGCAGGUUAAUACCCCGCUGUUCUGACGGUACCCAAAGAAUAAGCACCGGCUAACUUCGUG